UUAGCAGCACUGUACUGUAAAAAUCCACAGUACUAUACUGUAUGUGUACAUUACAGUACAGAACUGCAGUUCAUAAUGCAUUCUGGGUAAAUUUGUUUGAGCGGGAACAUUUUACAGUAUAUUUUGGUCUUGAUGUAACCUUGCUGUAGCCAUUGCUGUAAUGUGCCAGGUGUACUUGCAAUAAUCAGAGAAAGUGCGCCAACGUCAAAUCACACAGACAGAGGGAGCGCACAACUCUUGGCUGCAGCUGAAGGAGGACGAUUGAUUUCUGUCAGUUCGUCUUACCAUUGCUUGUAAGUCGGAUUGGGUAAGAUGGAUCAUCUUUAAAGGCACCAGGAGUUAAGGCAGAUGUGGAGGCACAACGGGUGACACCAGACACACACCAAGCACAUUGUUCGGUAAGUUUGCACUUUACCACUACAGUUUCUUUAAAUACCCAUGUAUACACUCAUUCACAAUUCCCACAUACAACACUGUAACACGACCAUACACAACAUGUACACAAUUGUCUUAGUUUGCCAUGUAGAAAUAUACAAACAGAAAUAUUCAGACUUUGGUUAUAAGAAAUUUAAUUUAAUAAUUGUAUUUAUUUAGCAGAGGUGUCCCUGGGCUUUAUUGACAAAAGAUUUUGUUUUCAGAAUAAAAAGUUGUGUCCAAAUCAGUAACAAUUGUACUUUCUGUUCAGGACAUUCAAUCAUGACAUGAUCCAUGUGGAUGCUGUCCAUUGAGGAAAGAGUUUGUUCAGCGGUAAGUGAAUCUUCUGUAUUUUAAUGUAAUUAGGUGUGGAACAGUAGAAUAAGAGCAAAAGGUUUCAGAAUAGGAGUAAAUUCAAGGCUGAGUUUAGUUUUUUAAGAAUCUUUUUCUAUCUUAUAUUUGUUGACUUAAUGUUUAUGAUAUUUCUAACAGGUUUCUGGAUAGAAUUAAUUCCAAAGAUGGGAAAAAGUGCACAUCCAGACAAGGAGCAAGCAAAUAGACAAGGAACUUGGUGCAGAGAAAAGCUGUGGCCAUUAACCCCCAUGUGAACAGCUUCAUGCAGUCCCUGAUUGAGUUCGAAUGGACGACUUCAAAGUAAAGGCCACUGUGGUCUGUCUGCCACAGUUUAAUGCAUUUAUUUUUAGUGUUCAAUGAAAUUCAAGUAGAAUAUUUAAAACUAUGGGCCAGUGUUCUUUUUACCACAGUGAAAUGUUACCUUUUAGUCGAUGAUGGACUUUAAACUGAAAACUUCAAACUAUGGAAGAGUGUUCUAUUUGCCAGAGUUAAAUAUGUUACAGCAGGGGUCUCCAAACUUGUUUAUACUUGUUGAUUUUAUUUUAUGUUACUUGAUUAUAUGUUUAUUAUUGUUUAAAAUCUUGUUUUAAAUAUGUUUUGUUUCGAUUAAAUGUUUUUUAAAUAAAAUUUUGAUACAAACA